GUUGCCUGCCAUGGAGACACCCUACCGACUAGAUCCUGUCUUACCCUGAGAUGCCUUAUAUACCUGGAGUAUCCUUACAACUAUUAAUUACUCAAGUAUAUUGCCCACCGCUGACCAGGCAGAUUCGCUUAAACACUACCACAGUACUUAACGCCUGAACUCACUAGUCUCAUCAUUGUCAUUUCUCUUGUACACCUCAUACGUUUAAA